AACGAACGCUGGCGGCAGGCUUAACACAUGCAAGUCGAACGCCCCGCAAGGGGAGUGGCAGACGGGUGAGUAACGCGUGGGAACAUACCCUUUUCUACGGAAUAGCUCUGGGAAACUGGGAUUAAUACCGUAUACGCCCUACGGGGGAAAGAUUUAUCGGGGAAGGAUUGGCCCGCGUUGGAUUAGCUAGUUGGUGGGGUAAAGGCCUACCAAGGCGACGAUCCAUAGCUGGUCUGAGAGGAUGAUCAGCCACAUUGGGACUGAGACACGGCCCAAACUCCUACGGGAGGCAGCAGUGGGGAAUAUUGGACAAUGGGCGGAAGCCUGAUCCAGCCAUGCCGGGUGAGUGAUGAAGGCCUUAGGGUUGUAAAGCUCUUUCACCGAUGAAGAUAAUGACGGUAGUCGGAGAAGAAGCCCCGGCUAACUUCGUG
rnacentral:rRNA from 1 species